rnacentral:rRNA from 1 species
UACGUAGGGCGCAAGCGUUGUCCGGAAUUAUUGGGCGUAAAGAGCUCGUAGGCGGCUUGUCGCGUCGAAUGUGAAAUCUCGGGGCUCAACUCCGAGCUUGCAUUCGAUACGGGCAGGCUAGAGUUCGGUAGGGGAGACUGGAAUUCCUGGUGUAGCGGUGAAAUGCGCAGAUAUCAGGAGGAACACCGGUGGCGAAGGCGGGUCUCUGGGCCGAUACUGACGCUGAGGAGCGAAAGCGUGGGGAGCGAACAGG